UGUCCCAGCCGCCGCGGUAAUACGUAGGGUGCAAGCGUUAAUCGGAAUUACUGGGCGUAAAGCGUGCGCAGGCGGUUGUGUAAGACAGAUGUGAAAUCCCCGGGCUCAACCUGGGAACUGCAUUUGUGACUGCACAGCUAGAGUGCGGCAGAGGGGGAUGGAAUUCCGCGUGUAGCAGUGAAAUGCGUAGAUAUGCGGAGGAACACCGAUGGCGAAGGCAAUCCCCUGGGCCUGCACUGACGGCUCAUGCACGAAAGCGUGGGGAGCAAACAGGAUUAGAUACCCUGGUAGUCCACGCCCUAAACGAUGUCAACUGGUUGUUGGACGGCUUGCUGUUCAGUAACGAAGCUAACGCGUGAAGUUGACCG
rnacentral:rRNA from 1 species